UUCUUCGGGGCGGGGUGCAAUUCCCCACCGGCGGUAUAGUCCGCGACCUGCCCAGUGCAGCUGAUCCGGUGUGAUUCCGGAACCGACAGUAUAGUCUGGAUGAGAGAAGAA
rnacentral:ncRNA from 1 species